AUUGAAACACCAGUUCUUGUAUGAUCACCAAAGUUAAGCAAUGUUGAGCUUGGUUAGUAUCUAGAUGAGUGUCUAUUUGGGAAUACCUGGUGCUGUAAG